AUUGAACGCUGGCGGCAUGCUUUACACAUGCAAGUCGAACGGUAACAGGCCGCAAGGUGCUGACGAGUGGCGAACGGGUGAGUAAUGCAUCGGAACGUGCCCAGUCGUGGGGGAUAACGCAGCGAAAGCUGUGCUAAUACCGCAUACGAUCUAUGGAUGAAAGCGGGGGACCGUAAGGCCUCGCGCGAUUGGAGCGGCCGAUGUCAGAUUAGGUAGUUGGUGGGGUAAAGGCUCACCAAGCCAGCGAUCUGUAGCUGGUCUGAGAGGACGAUCAGCCACACUGGGACUGAGACACGGCCCAGACUCCUACGGGAGGCAGCAGUGGGGAAUUUUGGACAAUGGGCGCAAGCCUGAUCCAGCAAUGCCGCGUGCAGGAAGAAGGCCUUCGGGUUGUAAACUGCUUUUGUACGGAGCGAAAAGGUUUGGGUUAAUACCCUGGGCCGAUGACGGUACCGUAAGAAUAAGCACCGGCUAACUACGUGCCAGCCGCCGCGGUAA
rnacentral:rRNA from 1 species